UGAUGUGAGGGAGACCUGACUGACUACAUUGGUCACACCAUUGACCACCAGAGUUGAUUCAGCUGAUCUGGCUAGAUGUAAGGGAGUCUGCUUUCUCCAUUAUCACUCCUCAAAAGUCAUUCUUGAAGUUUUGCACUCACAGGAUAACCAUCUCCAAAUAUAGGAAAAUGGUCUCCAGUCCUAGGGAUCUCAGUAGCUUCCCUCCCCACCUAGAACCUCCAGAUAAGCUCUCAAAAUCCAAACACCUGGUUCAAACUGUUCAGGGAAGAGAUGUUCAGCCUGAGUUUCCAUGUGUUGGACUAAUAA
ensembl:misc_RNA 7SK 7SK RNA